rnacentral:rRNA from 1 species
UACGGAGGAUCCAAGCGUUAUCCGGAAUCAUUGGGUUUAAAGGGUGCGUAGGCGGUCAUGUAAGUCAGCGGUGAAUCCGGCAGCUCAACUGUCGAUGUGCCAUUGAUACUGCAUGACUUGAGUACUGAUGAGGUAGGCGGAAUUGACGGUGUAGCGGUGAAAUGCUUAGAUAUCGUCAAGAACACCGAUAGCGAAGGCAGCUUACUAAGCAGUAACUGACGCUGAUGCACGAAAGUGUGGGAUCAAACAGGA